rnacentral:rRNA from 1 species
UUUUUUUGCGUGCUGCUGGAAUAGAGGGCGUAGAGGUGGAGGUCCGCGGCGGUGCGGGAAGGUGCGGUGCGGUGCGCGACGGGGGCGGCCGGUGGCCGGGAGGCGGCACGCGGCGGGGACGGCCGGGAGGCGGCGCGCGGCGGGGACGGACGGUGGCGAGGAGGCGGCACGCGGCGGGGGCGGCACGUGGCGGUGGUGGGGACGCCGAAAGGUGGUGGCCCUUGUGAGCUGCGGCUGCGACGUGGAAGGGAGUUGAGGAGAGAGAGGAGGAGGAAACGGCGUGACGAGAAGUAGUGGGCCGGUUGAGGCAGCUUUGCCCGUCCGCCGCGACCUCAAGCGGCCUUGCCCGGCCGCCCGCCAUUCUCGGCGCCGCCGCCGCGCUUUUGACAGUAUAAGUCCGCGCCGUAGCUGCCUAGACCACCGACCACACCGUCGAACGAUCUACCGCCGCCGACCUCGGGAUGAGUAGGUCUCUUUCUCUCUCUGUCCCGCACUCCCUCUCUCCUUCUUUACUCUUCCUCUUCCCCGUGUCCCACUCCCUCCGUCCAUCCCGCCGCACGAGGAUAACUCCGCCGUCGCACGCCAACGGCCGUUCCCAUCGUGUAGAGCGACCUCGUGUGCAACAAGGACCGGUCUCCGGAGCCUAGCUGGCCGACCCGAGCCGCGACGACUCGUUGCUGCCACCGCCCCCCCAGUUCCCCUAGCAACUCCUGCGGUCGUUGUCGGAGAAGUUUGAUGCGCAUUAGUGACAUGGUAACCGACGUAGCCAAUAAACAUACUCUAAGUGGGAGAAACACAACUCCUUUCUCGGCCUUCCUCUCAUGUACCUGCUCCUCCCCUUCUUACUGAUCCGUCUAACGGGUGUUGAGACGUGUCCACGUCGGUUUGUUUCGGAUCGACCUGUAGUAAACAGUUCCAAACGUGUGUUGAUGUGUGACUUUUAAGAUCGACCAAACUAAGUCUAGAACCACGAUGACGGAUAGUAGGUAUCGUAGAGGAGAAAAAUGGUGGUCGGUGGUGAUGGUGUUACCAUGUCUAGAGUGGACUUGAGGUACAGUGAGGGAACGGAAUUAUGGAAGAAUAUGAACAACAAACAAACCAGGUAGAAGUCAAGGAGCGUGUUUAGUCCAACAGAGUGGCCGGAUGUCUUGAACCUAUAAACGAUGCUGUCAGACAACCAACUACCGGUAGCUCUCAAGUUCUGAUUAGGUGUGAUCUGUAAGAACUAAGGAAUAAUAAACGUAAUAAAAAUCUAGGUAAUGGAAGAACGUAUAGUAGUAGAUACGUCGUGUACGGUUGUUCGAGACAGCAGCACCACGCAUAUAUCAUUAGAUUGUUCCGUCAUGUGUACAUACGUUCGUCCUCGUCUCAUGGCUCCCGACUCCUCUGUUCACGACCUCUCCCACCGUACGUAGUCCUACUCCCUUCUUUCACGACCUCCUACAUUUGUAAACCGCCUUGUACAUAUAUCACCAAGAAACACCCCUUUUUUACAUAUCUCACCAACCACAUAUGCAGGAAAAACACUAUUAUUAUUUACUUCACGUAAGACCACGAUACCAACACUGAUUUCUACAAUCGCCG